UUACUGGGCGUAAAGGGUGCGUAGGCGGCGCGGUAAGUCGGGUGUGAAAUCUCGGGGCUUAACUCCGAAACUGCAUUCGAUACUGCCGUCUUGAGGACUGGAGAGGAGACUGGAAUUUACGGUGUAGCGGUGAAAUGCGUAGAUAUCUGCAGGAACACCCGUGCGAAAGCGGCGCGUGGACCACUACUGACGCUGAGGAACGAAAAGCUAGGGGAGCAAACAGG
rnacentral:rRNA from 1 species